rnacentral:lncRNA from 1 species
UAGAUUUUUCACCGUGCAUUUUGGGCUACGUUGUUUAAUCUCGGGACUUAUCAAAAUUUAGCUCUGUUUCGGUUGCGUCAGUUUCAGUUAGCUGUUUUCUUUCACAAAAAGCAAUAAUUAGGUUGUGUACACACAGUGGCUUCCGGAGAAAACCGGAUCGGUGGAAGAUCGAUGAAUUCCAGAAAAGAAUCAGUACGGAUAUCAGGAGUGACUUCAAUGGAAACUGAAAAAAUUAGACUUCCUGUUGCCUUCCACCACAUGACCGAUCCAUAACUUUUCCCGGAGCUGAGCUCGUCAGACAACCAGAGAUGGCAAACGGAUCUACGCCAUAAGUUCGGCGGCAGUUUUUCCAGCAUGAUGACCACAGUUCCGGCAGUAACAUAAUAAGAACGAGUCCGCAACGGAAGACAGUUUUUCGACACCAAAACGAGCAAAACCUAGGAAGUGAAGGAUUCAUAUUGCCAACUAUGCUGUAUUAUUGUUUAGCACAUUCAGUGCGGAUACUUAUAUUUAGGAUCAAAAGAACAAAGCUGAUGAACUUAUUGCGGGAGGUUUAAUAAACAUGAUGAAAAAUUCGUUGAACUU